UACGGAGGAUCCGAGCGUUAUCCGGAAUUAUUGGGUUUAAAGGGUGCGUAGGCGGCCAUUUAAGUCAGCGGUGAAAUUUUGCAGCUUAACUGUAACAGUGCCGUUGAUACUGAUAGUCUUGAGUUUGGUUAAGGUAGGCGGAAUGUGUAAUGUAGCGGUGAAAUGCUUAGAUAUUACACAGAACACCAAUUGCGUAGGCAGCUUACUGAGCCGACACUGACGCUGAGGCACGAAAGCGUGGGGAUCGAACAGGAUUAGAUACCCU
rnacentral:rRNA from 1 species